AUGUUUCCCAUCACCACACCCAACGUUGUAGGUCCCUUUCGGUUCUCCUGGCAGCGGAUUUGUAAAGGGAAUUACCGGGUCAUUCAGGGUGCUACAUUACGCUUAGGGGGCCCCGACCGGACACCCUUGCCUUCUUCGCACUCUAUGGGAUAAUUUUGGCAAGAAUUGGACAAUUUAGUGGAUGGCUAACCUGUCAGAAAACCGCCAUAAUUGCGUACUUGGUGACGUUCAUUUUCAGUUCUAAGCUUGAUAGCAUAGCUUUGCAUAGGCGCUGUGUACUGUGCAGCAUACACACCGCAUAGACUUGCACACAUUACACGGCCAUCAUCAUGGCUUGUUGUCUCAGCGAAGAAGCGAAAGAACAGAAGAGAAUCAACCAAGAAAUAGAAAAACAGCUACGAAAAGACAAACGAGAUGCACGAAGGGAGCUCAAGUUACUCUUGCUGGGCACUGGAGAAAGUGGUAAAAGUACAUUCAUCAAACAGAUGAGAAUUAUUCAUGGGGCAGGUUACACAGAAGAAGAUAGGAAGACAUUCACCAAGCUUGUAUACCAAAAUAUUUUCAUGGCCAUCAAUGCAAUGAUCAGAGCCAUGGACACACUCAAGAUAGCCUAUGGCGACCCUACAAAUGAG